UACGGGGGGAGCAAGCGUUGUUCGGAUUUACUGGGCGUAAAGGGCGCGUAGGCGGCCUGUGCAAGUCAGUUGUGAAAUCUCCGAGCUUAACUCGGAAAGGUCAACUGAUACUGCUCGGCUAGAAUGCGGAAGGGGCAACUGGAAUUCUUGGUGUAGCGGUGAAAUGCGUAGAUAUCAAGAGGAACACCUGCGGCGAAGGCGGGUUGCUGGGCCGACACUGACGCUGAUGCGCGAAAGCUAGGGGAGCGAACGGG
rnacentral:rRNA from 1 species